CACGUAGGGCGCAAGCGUUUGUCCGGAAUUAUUGGGCGUAAAGAGCUCGUAGGCGGUCUGUUGCGUCCGCUGUGAAAACUCGGGGCUUAACCCCGGGCCUGCAGCCGAUACGGGCAGACUAGAGUUCGGCAGGGGAGACUGGAAUUCCUGGUGUAGCGGUGAAAUGCGCAGAUAUCAGGAGGAACACCGGUGGCGAAGGCGGGUCUCUGGGCCGAUACUGACGCUGAGGAGCGAAAGCGUGGGGAGCGAACAGG
rnacentral:rRNA from 1 species